rnacentral:rRNA from 1 species
AACGAACGCUGGCGGCAGGCCUAACACAUGCAAGUCGAACGCCCCGCAAGGGGAGUGGCGAACGGGUGAGUAACGCGUGGGAACCUACCCAGCAGUUGGGGAUAACCGCGGGAAACUGCGGCUAAUACCGAAUACGUCCUAAGGGAGAAAGAUUUAUCGCUGUUGGAGGGGCCCGCGUCGGAUUAGCUAGUUGGUGAGGUAACGGCUCACCAAGGCGACGAUCCGUAGCUGGUCUGAGAGGAUGAUCAGCCACACUGGGACUUAGACACGGCCCAGACUCCUACGGGAGGCAGCAGUGGGGAAUAUUGGACAAUGGGGGCAACCCUGAUCCAGCAAUGCCGCGUGAGUGAUGAAGGCCUUAGGGUUGUAAAGCUCUUUUACCGGGGACGAUGAUGACGGUACCCGGAGAAUAAGCUCCGGCUAACUCCGUGCCAGCCGCCGCCGUAA